GUGCUCACUCUGGCAGCACAUAUAUUAAAAUUGGGACGAUACUGAGAAGACUAGCAUGGCCCCUGAGCAAGGAUGACAUGUAAAUUCAUGAAGUGCUCCAUAUUUUU